UACGUAGGGUGCAAGCGUUAAUCAGAAUUACUGGGCGUAAAGCGUGCGCAGGCGGUUUUGUAAGUCUGUCGUGAAAGCCCCGGGCUUAACCUGGGAAUUGCGAUGGAGACUGCAAGGCUUGAAUCUGGCAGAGGGGGGUAGAACUCCACGUGUAGCAGUGAAAUGCGUAGAGAUGUGGAGGAACACCGAUGGCGAAGGCAGCCCCCUGGGUCAAGAUUGACGCUCAUGCACGAAAGCGUGGGGAGCAAACAGG
rnacentral:rRNA from 1 species